rnacentral:ncRNA from 2 species
CUGCGGACCUGCGCCGAUUUGAUGUUCAGCUUGCGGGCGCGUUACAAAUUCGGCUAAAGAGACGCGUGGCAAAGUGCG